rnacentral:rRNA from 1 species
CCUACGGGGGGCAGCAGUGGGGAAUAUUGCACAAUGGGGGGAACCCUGAUGCAGCAACGCCGCGUGGGUGAAGAAGUACUCCGGUAUGUAAAGCCCUGUCCGCAGGGCAGAAAAUGACGGUACCUGACCAAGCAGCCUCGGCUAACUACGUGCCAGCAGCCGCGGUAAUACGUAGGGGGCAAGCGUUAUCCGGAUUGACCUGGUGUAAACGGAGCGUAGACGGCAAGGCAAGGUUGGAGUGAAAGCCCGUGGCCCAACCACGGGACUGCUGUUGAAUCUGUGUUGCUGGAGUGCAGGAGGGGUAAGCGGAAUUCCUAGUGUAGCGGUGAAAUGCGUAGAUAUCAGGAGGAACACCGGUGGCGAAGGCGGCUUACUGGACUGCAACUGACGUUGAGGCUCGAAGGCGUGGGGAUCAAACAGGAUUAGAGACCCCUGUAGUC